rnacentral:rRNA from 1 species
UACAGAGGUCUCGAGCGUUAGGCGGAAUCACUGGGCUUAAAGCGUGUGUAGGCGGAUCGUUAAGUGCCUUGUGAAAUCCCACGGCUCAACCGUGGAACUGCUUGGCAUACUGGCGGUCUUGAGCAACCUAGGGGCGAGCGGAACAAAUGGUGGAGCGGUGAAAUGCGUAGAUAUCAUUUGGAACGCCAAUGGUGAAAACAGCUCGCUGGGGGUUUGCUGACGCUGAGACACGAAAGCCAGGUGAGCAAACGGG